GAAUGCUGGCAUGUAGUGUAAAGCGCUUUGAGUGGUCGGAAGACUAGAAAAGCGCUAUAUAAAUGCAAGUCCAUUUACGAUUUUAUUCCCCCCAAAAACCGACCCCCGAUUGUGCCUCGUUGCUAAAACUAAAACUAAAUGACCUGACAUAAGCAGGACACACUGUAAUAGCACAAAACGCUGCCUUGGCACUGUUUAAAUGUCCCAAGCUUUUCCACUCUUACACAAAUGUUUGCAUUCCUAGUCUACCCUGAGGGACCCUCCAGUCAUCCCUGCUCUCCCAUUGGCCUGGGCUCAUUAUGCAAAUGAGAUGAUGGAAAGGGGGGGGGCGUGGCCUGCCUGCUCUUUAAGAGUACGAGCUGACGUCACGGUCAGAGUGGCAGCAGAAGGCGCUUUAAAAAAUGAAAAGACAUAAAGCAUAAGAAAAAAAAAAAAAAAAAAAAAAUAAGGGGCUGAUUCCAAAAACAAGGGAAGAGGAGAGAGAGUAUAGGGAGGGAGAACCAGGAGGAGGAGUAGUGGGGAUAGUGAGGAAGAGGAGGGGAGACACACAGUGUGCAGUUGACUACACAGAGAGAGAGAGAGAGAGAGAGAGAGAGAGAGAGAGCAGCUCGCCGGCCCCAUUGAGGAAAGAUGGCUACAGUCACUGCAAACGGAGUGCAGCAAGAGAAUGGAUUCAGCACCACGAACAGCGCCGGCAGGAUGAACGGGCUCACCAUCGGCCAGAACACCAUCCCAAUGAAGGACCACGACGCCAUCAAGCUUUUCAUCGGGCAGAUUCCCAGAAACCUGGAGGAAAAGGACCUGAAACCGCUGUUUGAGGAAUUCGGAAAGAUAUACGAACUCACUGUACUGAAAGACAGGUUCACCGGAAUGCAUAAAGGAUGUGCCUUUCUAACAUACUGUGCCAGAGAGUCAGCACUGAAGGCCCAGAGCGCCCUCCAUGAACAGAAGACUCUGCCAGGGAUGAACCGGCCCAUCCAGGUGAAGCCAGCCGACAGCGAAGGACGAGGAGAAGACAGGAAGCUGUUUGUGGGAAUGCUCGGCAAGCAGCAGAGCGAGGACGACGUCCGGCGGCUGUUCGAGACCUUCGGCCAGAUCGAGGAGUGCACCGUCCUGCGAGGGCCUGAUGGGGCCAGUAAGGGAUGCGCCUUUGUCAAGUUCUCCAGCCACGCAGAAGCGCAGGCCGCCAUCAACAGCUUGCAUGGUGGACAGACUAUGCCUCCAUUGGAAAACAUGGGUGCCUCGUCCAGUCUGGUGGUCAAAUUCGCAGACACCGAUAAGGAGAGGACCCUGCGCCGGAUGCACCAGAUGGCGGGCCAGCUUGGCAUCUUCAGUCCCAUGACCAUCCAGUUUGGGGCCUAUGGCGCCUACUCUCAUGCUGUAAGUCUCAGCCCGGCGGGGGAGGAGACGCAGAUGAUGCAACAGCAAGCAGCCCUGAUGGCGGCAACACAAGGGUCCUACCUGAACCCCAUGGCGGCCAUCGCUGCCGCGCAAAUGCAGCAAAUGGCAGCUUUCAAUGUCAACGGCCUGGUGGCUACUCCCAUGACACCGUCCUCAGGCACCAGCACACCCCCUGGCAUCUCUGCCACAGCCGUGCCCAGCAUAGCCACCACUAUCGGGGUCAACGGAUUCAGCGCCCUCCCGCCUCAAAGCAACGGACAGCCCAACUCCGAGCCCAUCUACACCAAUGGUAUUCACCCUUACCCAGCACAGAGUCCAACGGUGACCGACCCUCUCCAACAGGCUUAUGCUGGCGUCCAACACUACGCAGCAGCCUACCCUGCCGCCUAUGCGCCAAUCAGCCAAGCGUUCCCCCAGCAACCAACCAUCAUUCCCCAGCAACAGAGGGAAGGUGCCUACAUUAUCUACAAUCCAACUCUAACUGCCGACAGUUCGGUCAGAGAUUCAGGGCCAGAAGGUUGCAACCUGUUUAUUUAUCACCUGCCCCAGGAGUUCGGAGACGCGGAGCUCAUGCAAAUGUUCCUGCCUUUCGGCAACGUCAUCUCCGCCAAAGUCUUUGUGGACCGAGCGACUAAUCAGAGCAAAUGUUUCGGCUUUGUGAGUUUUGAUAACCCGUCCAGUGCUCAAGCCGCUAUCCAGGCCAUGAACGGCUUUCAGAUAGGCAUGAAGAGGCUGAAGGUGCAGCUAAAGCGGCCAAAGGAUGCCAACCGACCUUACUGACUCGUCUGCUGUCCAUACCCAGUGUGAGGUGGCCUUUCUCCGCUAUAGCCACACCCCCUCCCCCCCACACCUGUCAUGGGGCCAGGUUCCCACAGCUGAUGAAGGGCCACAACACCUUAUUUCCACAAGUGCAGUAAAAGUACAAAGACUUCUUGCUCUGCUACAUAUCAUGAAGGAAGGGUGGCCCCUUGAUCCUGCUGGAAACCCGCUGAAAGAUUGGGAGACUGAGAGAAGGAUCCCAGAGUUUUUUUUUUUAAUUUAAUUUUUGUUUUUUCUUUCUUCGCAAAUGCCUCUUUUUUCCCUGUUUUGCUUUGGCGUCUGUGGAAAAAGAUUUUUUGCAGAGACCAACUUUUUGCUGCUGUUUUUUAGACAUGAUGGGGAAAAAAAAAAACCUUUAUAGACUCAUUAUGCUCAAAGCAUGCAUACUGACACAGGAUAUAGAUAAACACACACAUAUAACAAACAAAACAUACACAUUUAAAGAUGCUACACUUUAAAAAAUUAAAAACAAAAAAAAAUACUUUGUACAUGUAUAAAUACGUGCAAAUGCCAACUCAAGUACUGACGCAAACACGUGCGUGUGCGCAUGCACACACAUACAUAUACACACAAACACACACACCAGCCUGCUGCCAUUUUGGUUUUUGUGCCUACACAGGUGUUGUGCUCUGUGACAGGGCAAGCUCUGGAUCAAAGAAGAAACCGAGAAGAAGAAGAAGAUGAAGAAGAAGAGGAGAGAAGAGGAGAAUCCAGGAUAAUUUACAUGCAUCAUUCCUUAGGAAAUAGGGACCAAAGGACUUAACGCUUUUUAAAAGAAUAUAAAUAUAUAAAUAUAUAAAUAUAUAUUUAAAAACUCAUACCUUGUAGCUGCAAGUAUUACAAUUUACUCGUAGUCAAAAAAAUCAUUAAAUCAAUAUCCAGUGGCCUACUGUAAGUAUGAAUAAAAGAACAUGGAAAUAAUGUGUAAAAAAAAGACAUGGCAUCGUAGUGUAGGGGCUGAUCUUUUGCUCUGGAUGCUGGUUUAGCACCAGGUUGUAGAAUAGUAAAGUAGAUUAGAAAAAAAAAUGUAGAUUUGCUAACUUUUGCUGUUGUUUAAAAAAAUACUUGAAGUCGUAAUGAAAAGGGGGCAAAAGGUGAACGGGAAGGGGGAAGGAAAACAUUCAUCUGCCCCUGUACGCAACGAGUCUCUUUUUCUUGGAUGUUAAGGUAUCAGCCACUGGAUAUCUCGCUCAUCAUGAUGUAUAAGUCACCGCACUCUCUGACAGCUAUGAACAGACUGUUCUGGAAGAAAAAAAAAAAAGAAUGACAAGUGAUAAAAAAAAGACAGAACUCAUUAUAAUGUCUGUGCUGGACAGGGUGCAGACGUUUAAGGCUUCUCACUAGCCUUUGUGUUCAAGCGACAAUCCACUGUAAAGACCAAGCAAAAUGGACAUGGGGGGUGUCUUUUGUUUGUUUUUUGUUUUUCUUCUGUUUCUUUCUUGACCUUUUAUAUUGCAACAAGGAGUGUGAAUUAUGAAGCCACAAAUUGUUAAAAGGUGACGGUUCUACUACGAGAGACGGACAAAUGGAUGGUCGUGAGGGCAACAAGAAGGGAGGAGGAGUAAGGUGACAGCUACUGAAACUGCCAGCAGAAUGAACUCAGCAUACAAAUGAAAUGGUCCUUAUGGCGUUGCAAUUGUGUCAAAAAAACAAAGUAUGCCCGCUGUAAACAAGCAGGACUUAUAUAUAAGUGACAUGCCAAGGAUAUGUGUGUCCACUGGAGCUGCUGCAAAACUCCAGAUUGAGAAAAAUCGCCUCUUGUCUCUUGGCAGAUACAAACAAACAUUUCUCGGAGGACAAACUCGAUUUACUGUAUUGAUGGCAAAGGAGUGCAGGCUUUUAGAGCUCAUUUAGCUCCGUCAAAUAUAAUGUAAAUCCCGCUAUUAACAUGCUCCCUGACCUGCUUUCUUCAUAUAUUAUACAUGGGAAAAAAAAGCUACUGCUUAAACAGACUAUAUCUAAAUUAGAUCUAACGGUCACCCUUAACCAUCGCUCAGCUCGCUUGUAGCCUCUCUGACGCUGACGCCAGGCAGGACGGAGUAAAGCACUCCGGUACUGUCAUGUCUUGAUUUAGAGUCCCGUAGCCUUUCUUUGGACUGUUUUAGAGCUCUGGAUUGCAGGCUCUUCUCUAAAAGCAGAUCAAUAUGUUUGGAAUGAGUCUAGAGGGAGGAGCGAUGCUGUUUCAGUCACUCUGCAACACUUCCCAAUUUUCUCUGUCGAACACCAGCUCACAUCCGUACACCAGCCCUUUGAGCACUGGCAGCUGGCGGUUAAGAGGCAUGGCUAGGCAAGAAGGAGGGGAAGUCAACAACCAAAACAUGACAUCAAGAUCCUUGAGAAACUGAUGCUUCUAGGAUGAUGCCCAAUGACUUAGUCCGGAUAAUUAGAAGUUGUAAUCAAGCUCCUGGUGACAAACGCAAUAUAUCUGUGCUAUAUGCUUUCUAAGAACAGGAUUAAAGGGUUAAAAUAGGACAUAUGUCUGGAAGGCUCCAGUCCAACCAGUUCCUGACUCUCCUCCUUGCUGUUCCCUCCCUCUUUCUCUAGCUUUCUUUAGAGAGAAAAGCAGCCCAGACCUAUUCCAAAUCACUGAUAAAAUGUGCCAGCAGAUACAAUUCAUUUAAAUAAGCAGAAGGUCUCGAUUUGAUAUCAGCGUGCCAUGCACCCCCUUCUCUUCCCCCCCUGUCCUAAGAGCAGCCAUGCCUCUCCAAACCUAAGCCCAACUGUUCUGCAGCUCUCCCCUCGGAGCAGCAUUUUCGAACCUGGCUAAUGUCUGCACUCGCCACCCUUCAAUUAUCGCCUGCACCGUAUUAGACAUGCUAUUUCACCUUUCCCUCUAAUCACACUGUAAUCACCAGCCUCUAUACAUUAGCAGCAACCAAGUGAAAAAUCACCGGGAUAAUCACUUGGACCAAAUGACGGGAGAGAUGGUCCCCUGCAUGCACACGGAUGACAGAAGGAAGAUUAGAGAGAAUUAUGUUUGUGCCUACUCCCUGGCAAGGCUGCUGACAGCUGACCUGGCACCAAUAAUACCGUUGAAUUUACCCGAAGAGGCGACGGAGGAUGUGGGAUAAAACCUUCCGUAUCAUGGCAAGGUGUUAAUGCGGCAAAGUAGAUUGACGUUACGAAAAAUUAAAAGAGAAAAGUGGACGAUAAAAUGUAUGAAACCCUUUCCUUUUUCCUUUAGCACAAACGGAAAAUUGGGUCCAGGCCAACCAUUUUGCUUGAAAUCCUCAAUUCUGUAGAAGCAGCUGCAGUGAGGCCUGUGUUAUUGUGCUUCUUCUUCUUUCAGCAUGUAAUUGUGUCUCAACUAUCUCUUCGGACACCACAAUAUUUUACAAAAUACACAUCUUUCUUUAUCUUGCUUGUAUCCCUGCUGGGACACCUGCAAAGCGCAGUAUUGUUCAAUGCUGAAAGAAUGUUUGUGAAGCACAGUAGUUCUUCAGAUUCAAAAUGAUGCCCAUCAAAAAUGACAGCAAAUAAAAGUAGGAUAAAACCCCAGCCCUCCUUCCUCAGCCCUUGAUCGGACGUUAGGUGGAAACACAGGAAGCCACGUGAAUUGUAGUGAAGUAGGUCAAAACAAAGCCAUGUUCUGCAAACCGUUUGUGCUCAUUAUUCAUCUGACGCCGAACUAAUCGAUGGGAAAUCUAAUGUUCCACGAGCAAUGAAAUUUCCUGCGCUUGUCUCGGCCAUCUUUAGAAUACGUUCUGCGAGUGGAGGGGGGCUCCGUCGGGCUGAACAUGAACCUCGUCUCGUAUCAGAUGCUGUACUAGUUCCCACUGCUAAUGGCAGGUUGAGUCCCCAGUGAGCCAAAAACCCAGCCUAGCCUAGUAUCCUGCUGUCUGCUUGGCUAACAGUGCAGUGUUCAUGUAGCAUCUCUUGCUAUGCCAGGGCUAAAUUAGGCAAUGUGAAAUCAGCACUUCAACACUUUGAACAAGGGUGCUGCUGUUAUUGCUUUUACACCCCGGGGAGGUUGUUACUGAAGGGACGUGCAUUAAAAACAGAAAUAGCUCUGAGACAUGCUCCGGAACUAUGAAAAACAAGAAAAGAUUGUUUUUAGAUCUUCCCAUUCCCCUGCUUAUUGACACAUCGAGUCUCUGCCUGCCCGGCUCCCGGCUCCAGUCUGGUCUGGUUUUCAGUCCAGGCCAUGUUUCACCUCUAAGAGCAAUGACAAAUGUCGACCCAGCAGGCACUCGCCAAGCUGUUGCCAAAAUGCCAUUUGAUUUGUGUCCUCUAAUUUGCAAAUAGAAAAUGUAACUUGGCAUUUUAUCCUAAAGGAAUUAGUAUGAAUCUAAUUAAUUGUGAGAGAAUAACAUUUAGCAUGCCAGGCAAAACCAACAAGGCAAUGUCAAACAUUAUGUCCAUACCCCAAAAAGCAUAUGGAUGCUCCUUCUCUGCCAUUAGCCGUGUUUCCAUUAAAUUGUCAAGUGAAUUUUAAGCAAACUUUUGAAAUGUCGCAAAAAAAGUAAGGCGAAUUAGGCUCGUUUGCAUCAACUGGUUUGUAGCGAAUAAACUCUGCUGGUCGGCAUGGUUUGGUCAGAUAUAGGGUGAACCAAAAACAAAAAAAGUCGGCUUGGCCAUGCAUGCAUCCAACCAUCUACGAGAGAAAAAAUAGAAAGAUGUUUCAGUUAUUGGGCAAGUUUUAAUUCAUAUUUCAUGUCAGCUAGUAUUGGUCAUGUUUCGAGACGAACACAAGCAUUUGCACAUUAUGUGAAUAUCCGAGAAGAUGCCGACAGCGGAAACAGCUGAUCAGUCAUAUGAGCUAAAUGUUCGUUAUGUCAGAAUUUAUUCAGCAAAGGCGUUUCCAUCACACAUUUAGCGCAAAAACCACCUCAAGCGAGCGUAAAAACUUUUCGCAAUUGAGAAUGUUUUAUUGAAUUUUGCUGUUUCCAUGCUGCUUUUCUAAUGUGAUACUUCAAAAUGUGCAUAAAAACAUGUGAAUGGAAACACGGCUACUGAUGCAUGUACCCACUCUGACCCUGUAUCAUUAUUAAAUGAGAAAUUGGGGGUUAUAUGUGUAGUAUACCCAUUUCCUCAGUUGCCGCUACAACCAGUGCUCAUAAGGUCAGUCCUCUAGAGGAGCACGUAUCCUUAGAGGGCCUCAGCCAGUGGCGGGCCAAGCAGGGAACUGCUAGAGCAUGUCUACGAGUCUCCAACCCCCUGGGUGCAUAACACUCACCCUAAAAUAGCAGUGAUUGUCAAGGAAAGGAAGUGAAAUGUAAUUGACUGAAAGUGGAGAGAUAAUUAAAGGAACCUGUUGGACAGGAGGGAAGAAAUUAAUGCCUCUCAUUUAAUAGCUGCUUUGGGAGAGAGAGCUUUUCCGUCAUCUCACUUUAUAGCGCGGAGAGGGUUUUGCUGUGGAAAUGGGAUUUUGUAUGGAAAAAGGUGGAGGUGGAAAUAGGCACCGGGUGGUGGUGGUGGGGGUGGGGGUGCUGUGUGCUAAACUGAAACUCCACAAAAUCACUCCCAAUACUCAGGGCAUCAGGCGCCAUGAUGUCAUGAUUAGUGGAGAGGUUCAGAGCCUUGCCUUACCCCCGAUCUUGAGGGAGGUCGAGCAGAAUCGCAAACAUGAGGUCAGUGCUGUGAGACCGCGUCCCGCCGCGGGGAGUGCUGAGCCAGCAAAAAGGGCUGACGAACCACAUAAAAUUGUGCUUUGGAUCUAUAGUAUCACCAUCCAAUUCCAACAAGUAACAAGCAAACAAACAAAAAAAAAGAUGCCAUCUUUCACCCGACAGCGCACAGUGAAUCGCUGGAGGUGUGCGAUUAUGCUUAACAACAUGGCUGACAAUAAUGAAGACAAAGACUUUUUUUAUUCCUUAAUGUAAAUAGCCUAUAAAAUACAAAAAAACAGAGGACGGUUGUAUAGCAGCUUGUGUUGAGAAGCCCAACUCUGUGGGACAAUGAUGUCACUAUAAAAUGUAUCCACAGCAGUGCAGGGAUCUAGGAGAGUUUUAGUUCUUUUAAGCCCCUUAAGUUUGGGCUGUGAACAUGCAUCCUACAACCCUAAGCGUCGGACCGAGGCUUACAGAGUAUUUGACUUAGUGUCAAACCUAAGCCACAGCCCCGAAGUGAUCCGUUAAUUAAGAUUCUGUGUACACCGACAUGUCAUGAUUUUUUCUGACAGAAGAAAGAUCGCCUGUGCGGUAAUUGGAUUAGUCCAAUUGGGGCUGAUGAACAGAUAUGACAGUGACAGUAAAGUUCAUCCUUCUGCAUGCUUACCGCUUGACAGUGCGACAAAAAAAAAAAAAAAAAAAAAGCAUCAGCCACUAUGACACUUUCUUUGGAAGAAGUGAAAGUUUUGGCAUUUACAACAUUUAAGGAAGUUUUACAAAAAUGAAACUCCAGGUUACAGUUUGUUCAACAUGUACAUAAAUCAUUUUGGAAUCAAACAUUUAAUACAUACACGGUAGAACCCACAUGUACACGGUUGGGCCGAGAUUGGAGGAACAAGAGAGCGACUAUUGGAGAACCCAGCAGAACCCCCCUGCCAGCUUGACCCAAUCUGCCACAGCUCUCCUGACCACACAGCUGCGUUACUCCUGUACAUACAAUAUAGCUUAUUUUUCAAUUCUGUUGAACUUUCUUUAUAGGCCGUACAAUAGAUCAUGUUCAAACGUUUAAAAAAAAAAAAAUUAAAAGAAUAGUUAAUAUAUUUCAGUGAAACUAAGAGAAGGAACCUAUGAAAUAAUUUAUCCAAAACGAUAAGAUGAAAUGAUGUUAUUUCUUGUAUAGUGAAGCACUGAUGUUCAAAAAUGGGAUUUUAUACUCAUGUUGUUAAACGCUUCUUUACUUUCUCUCUUGUUUUCUUAUUAUCUGCUGAAGCUGGGAUAGACCCAUUGUCAUGAGGUUUAUUCGGAUACACUUUGAUCAUUUGUUUCUGUAUUUUUUUUGUCCGCACAAUCCCUGUAUGAAAUCCCUUGUGGAUGGGCAAAUUCAAAGUGAUUUUUUUGUUUUUUUGCUCACUGAAAGCUCUUAAAUCAAUACAAGAAUUAACAAAACUGCACUGUAAAAGGAUGAUUGAUGGUACCGGUCAUGUGGAUUCAGAAGAGAAUGAGUCCAUUGCACAACUGAGUUCAAAUGAAUCAGCAUUGCAUGUUCAAAAAUAAAUCUCAUUUGAGGCCUUUUGUUGUUUUGAGAAAAAUAAAAAAGUCAUAAAAAGACAAAAAAAAAAAAAUCUAACUUUGCAGUCAGAUUGGUUUUGAGACCGAUGCUGUCAUAUCUCAUUGUCUUUAAGCCAUGAAUAGUUUCCUGCAAUGCUGUUCUUCUUGUCUAUCUCUGUCAUAAUGUUGUUUCUAUUUUGUUGUUUUUUUUGAAGGGUUGGUUGUAAUCAUUGACAUAUCUCUGAUUUUCUUCUUCUCUGUUCUUACCUAUGGGAAGUUUCUUCUACGGUUUGUUAUCUAAUGUGACUCCAUCCACUGAAGACAUUGUAGUAUAUAGCGCCACAUUGCUUUACUCCAGUCAGGUUGAUUUGUUAAUGUGAGGAGGGAAUACUGCCUUAAACCCAGCCUGUUCUCUCUGACAGUACUACCUGUGAGCAGUGGUCACACACACUGUAUUCUGGGGAUGCCAAAUGCUCUAUCUUCAAAAAGGUAAAAAAAAAAAAAAAAAUCUGUUGUAAAGACAAACACUUCACCAGAGUCAGUUUUUAGCCUCAAGCCCAUUCUGACACAAAUACGGACGUGGUCAUCCACCUCCAUUUCCAUUGGUUACAAGGACCAAAAUGUAAACAAACUCAGCUAACUGAGCAGUUUGCUCCAAUCAAGCAUUCAAUGAGAGCCUUUAAAGAAUCCACAUUUAGUCAGAGGUGAUUUUGCACCAUGGAUCUUCAUUGCAUUCCCAGCUUCAUUAUCUUAAUUCCAUCCUCUUCGUUUGUUCUCAUGCAAAAUUAUUAAUCAUAAUACAUUUGGGUAUUUAAAUUCACAAUGAAUGGAAUAAUCAUUUCCUUUUUUUAUUAUUUGACUUGAACAAACUGUUUUCUUUUUUUUGUUUGAAACAGAGAUGUAAUUUGAAAUAGCGUUGGCUCGGGUCCGUUAACCCUGAUUCGGGGUGAUAUCUCCCAUAGUGCUCCUGAACUCUGUAGUUCUCUAGUUCAUUAUAUUCUGCUUAGACUAAAAUAAAGCACAGUCCUGUAGAAGAUU